GAUCCGUUAGCUCAGCUGGGAGAGCGCCACCUUGACAGGGUGGAGGUCGAGGGUUCGAGCCCCCCACGGGUCACCA
rnacentral:tRNA from 1 species